rnacentral:tRNA from 1 species
CCGGACGUGGCGCAGCCUGGUAGCGCGCGAGUUUUGGGUACUUGAGGCCGCAGGUUCGAAUCCUGCCGUCCGGACCA